CACGGACCAAGGAGUCUAACAUGUACGCGAGUCAUUGGGACCGAGCGAUACCUAAAGGCGUAAUGAAAGUGAAGGUCGGCCCUGGUUGUCGACCGAGGGAGGAUGGGCCGCGUCGCGAUGCGGCCCCGCACUCCCGGGGCGUCUCGUUCUCAUCGCGAGAAGAGGCGCACCCAGAGCGUACACGUUGGGACCCGAAAGAUGGUGAACUAUGCCUGGUCAGGACGAAGUCAGGGGAAACCCUGAUGGAGGUCCGUAGCGAUUCUGACGUGCAAAUCGAUCGUCGGAACUGGGUAUAGGGGCGAAAGACUAAUCGAACCAUCUAGUAGCUGGUUCCCUCCGAAGUUUCCCUCAGGAUAGCUGGCACUCGGCCGUUCCGCACGGAACGCGCGCGAGUCUCAUCUGGUAAAGCGAAUGAUUAGAGGCCUUGGGGCCGAAACGACCUCAACCUAUUCUCAAACUUUAAAUGGGUGAGAUCUCUGGCUUUCUUGAACUAUGAAGCCACGAGCAUCUCGGAUCAGAGUGCCAAGUGGGCCAUUUUUGGUAAGCAGA
rnacentral:rRNA from 1 species